rnacentral:rRNA from 1 species
UACGUAGGGGGCUAGCGUUGUCCGGAUUUAUUGGGCGUAAAGAGCGUGUAGGCGGCCAGGUAGGUCUGCUGUGAAAACUCGAGGCUUAACCUCGAGAUGUCGGCGGAAACCAUCUGGCUAGAGUCCGGAAGAGGAGAUUGGAAUUCCCGGUGUAGCGGUGAAAUGUGUAGAGAUCGGGAGGAACACCGGUGGCGAAGGCGGGUCUCUGGGCAUUUCCUGACGCUGAGGCGCGAAAGCGUGGGGAGCAAACGGG